rnacentral:rRNA from 1 species
AGAGUUUGAUCCUGGCUCAGAACGAACGCUGGCGGCGUGGUUUAGGCAUGCAAGUCGAACGAGAAAGUUUCCUUCGGGAAACGAGUAGAGUGGCGAAAGGGUGAGUAAUGCAUAGGCAACCUGCCCGCGAGUCUGGAAUAACUCGCCGAAAGGCGUGCUAAUGCCGGAUAGUAUCUCGAGACCGCAUGAUCUCGAGCUUAAAGCGGGGGCCUUCGGGCCUCGUGCUCGCGGAGGGGCUUGUGUCCUAUUAGCUUGUUGGUGAGGUAACGGCUCACCAAGGCGACGAUGGGUAACCGGCCUUGGAGGGUGACCGGUCACACUGGGACUGAGUCACUGCCCAGACUCCUACGGGAGGCUGCAGUCGAGAAUCUUCUGCAAUGGACGAAAGUCUGACAGAGCGACGCCGCGUGGGGGAAGAAGGCUUUCGAGUUGUAAACCCCUGUCACAGGUUAAGAAGGGUGUGUCGGUUAAUACCCGGCACUUCCGGACAAAGGCCUGAGAGGAAGACACGGCUAACUCCGUGCCAGCAGCCGCGGUAAUUCGGAGGUGUCAAGCGUUGUUCGGAACCACUGGGCGUAAAGAGCGCGUAGGCUGCAAUGUAAGUCGGUAGUGAAAGCCCCCGGCUCAACCGGGGAAUUGCUUCCGAUACUGUAUUGCUUGAGUGCGAGAGGGGUGAGUGGAACUCUUGGUGGAGCGGUGAAAUGCGUAGAUAUCAGGAGGAACGCCAGAGGCGAAGGCGACUCACUGGCUCGUGUCUGACGCUGAGGCGCGAAAGCUAGGGUAGCGAAAGGGAUUAGAUACCCCUGUAGUCCUAGCCGUAAACGAUGGGCACUAAGUAGGAGGAUCCCACGAUUUUCCUGCCGAAGCUAACGCAUUAAGUGCCCCGCCUGGGGAGUACGGUCGCAAGACUAAAACUCAAAGGAAUUGACGGGGGCUCGCACAAGCGGUGGAGCAUGUGGCUCAAUUCGAUUCGACGCGAAGAACCUUACCCGGGUUUGACAUGUAAGUGGUACUGAUCUGAAAGGUGAGGGACCCCGUAAGGGGAGCUUACACAGGUGUUGCAUGGCUGUCGUCAGCUCGUGCCGUGAGGUGUUGGGUUAAGUCCCGUAACGAGCGAAACCCUUGUCCUUAGUUGCCAUCACUUCGGGUGGGGACUCUAGGGAGACUGCCGGUGUCAAACCGGAGGAAGGUGGGGACGACGUCAAGUCAUCAUGGCCCUUAUGCCCGGGGCUGCACACGUGCUACAAUGGCCGGUACAAAGGGAAGCUAGACCGCAAGGUGGAGCCAAUCCCGUAAAGCCGGCCCCAGUUCGGAUUGGAGGCUGAAACUCGCCUCCAUGAAGUUGGAAUCGCUAGUAAUCGCGGAUCAGCCAUGCCGCGGUGAAUGUGUUCCUGAGCCUUGUACACACCGCCCGUCAAGCCACGAGAGCUGGUAGUGCCCAUAGUCGCUGUCCUAACCUCUAAGGUAACGAGGAGGAAGGAGGUGCCGAAGGUAAGACCAGUGAUUGGGACUAAGUCGAAACAAGGU